UCAAUUCUCUCAAUCAAUUGAAAUCAUUCUCCAGGCAAAUUGAUUUCUCUUUACAAACAUCACACAUUUUGCUCUAGCUAUCAUCUUUCACCCACAUUCAAUUUUACAAACCCUAAUUAUCAUAUAGGGUGAUUCUCAUCAAAGUGAUUAUUGGAAGCCCUAAAUUGUAACCAGUGGAAUUGAAUCCAGGUAUGUUUAUACCGUCCAUUGAGAAACCCUAAAAUCUUCAGAAAAGUUUGAAGCUUGAGAGAU
rnacentral:lncRNA from 1 species